AACCUGGUUAAAGCUGGGAAGCUUUUCAAGGUUACUACAUCCAUCAAAAAUCAACUUUUCAAGUUCCGUUAGAUUUCCCAAAGAUGGGUGGAUCUCUUUCAAUU